rnacentral:tmRNA from 1 species
GGGGCUGCCUGGUUUUGACAGCAUAGGUCUUUGAAAGUGUAAGCAUGCCGUGCGUUGGAUAAUUAGCACGUAAAUCUGAAUACCCAAACUCUAAAUGGCGAAUCUAACUUUGCCAUGGCUGCCUAAUUAAAUUAGGUACCCAUUAUAGCCGCCGGAUGAUGUGGCCUUAUGCGUCUCCCGCCGCCGAAUCAAACCCACAAUAGGAUAGGUUUUCAUGGUUUCUGUGAGUGAAAGCUGAAACUCAAACGGAUAAGGACCGGGCUGGUUUGUUCUGCCCCUGGCACGGUUCCGACAAACUAAUGCGGAAAUAAGCAUGUAGAAAGCUUUUGGAGGAUAUGUUUGGACGCGGGUUCGAUUCCCGCCAGCUCCACUU